GUCUUUUUGUAGUAUCUUUAAAGUCUAACCUGCCCACUGAAAAAUUUAAAGGGCCGCGGUAUUUUGACCGUGCAAAGGUAGCAUAAUCAUUAGUCUUUUAAUUGAAGGCUCGUAUGAAUGGUUGAACGUAGUAUUAGCUGUCUCAUAAAAAAUUAAAAUAGAAUUUAACUUUUUAAUUAAAAGGUUAAAAUAAAUUUAAAAGACGAGAAGACCCUAUAGAGCUUUAUAAUAUUUUUGUGUAAUUUAUUUAGAAAAAUUAAAAUAAUACGGAUUUUAUUAUUUUGUUGGGGUGACAAUAAAAUUUAAUAAACUUUUAUUAAUUGUAAACAUUAAUUUAUGAAUAAUUGAUCCAGUUAUAUUGAUUAUAAAAUUAAGUUACCUUAGGGAUAACAGCGUAAUUUUUUUUAAGAGUUCAUAUCGACAAAAAAGAUUGCGACCUCGAUGUUGGAUUAAGGGUUAUUUUUGGGUGUAGAAGUUCAAAGUUUAGGUCUGUUCGACCUUUGAAUCCUUACAU
rnacentral:rRNA from 1 species